CAGUAGCCACGGUAAUGCGGAGGGUGCAAGCGUUAAUCGGAAUUACUGGGCGUAAAGCGCACGCAGGCGGUCUGACAAGUCAGAUGUGAAAUCCCCGGGCUUAACCUGGGAACUGCAUUUGAAACUGUCAGGCUGGAGUCUUGUAGAGGGGGGUAGAAUUCCAGGUGUAGCGGUGAAAUGCGUAGAGAUCUGGAGGAAUACCGGUGGCGAAGGCGGCCCCCUGGACAAAGACUGACGCUCAGGUGCGAAAGCGUGGGGAGCAAACAGGAUUAGAUACCCCUGUAGUCCCUGUCUCUUAUAC
rnacentral:rRNA from 1 species